AUGUCUUGGCGCUGGGGAAGGAGCCCCGUUCCUGCCGCCGGUACCGCUGGGCGGGGGACUGUUGACGUAAUCAUGGCCGGUGACAUCAGCGGCGGCGGGUCCAGCGCGGGGGGUCAGGGCCGCGGGCGCCACCGGGGGCGGGGCGAGCGUGUCGGAACUACGGCUCCCACAAGGCUGCGCGGCCGCGCCCCACUGGCGGCGGCCAAUGGGCGCGCGGCGGGCGCUCAGGCAACGCACACGCGGCGGCGGCGGCGGCCAAUGGGAGGCGGCGGCGGCCGUAGCCCGAUGGGCCGGGGAGGCCGCGCUCCGCGAACAAAAGGCGGUGGCGGCGACGCGAGUGGGGCCGGAGCGGCAGCGGAUCGGGGUAGAGCGGCCGAGCGGGGCCCAGGGAGCCUCCCCCAGAGCUGGGCAUGCAGCACCUCCUUGCAUCACCCCGCACAGCGUUUCCCAACCACAGGUGCGGGACCAUGACCUCCCGUUGGCCACGGCACUGAGCCCUCACCAUCCUCUGAUGAAAUGCACGCGUUUGGCAGGUGGGAGCUGAUGUAACUUUUCAUGCUGCCAUGGGCUGAAAAUACUGGCUGGGCUUGAACUAUGUUAAUAAAUGACCCGGGAUGGAGGGGGGAGGCUGCUUUACGGUGUGGGUUUGUUGACACAAUUCUUGAGAGAGUGGGUGUCAAGCUUUCACUGGGGAGGGAGUCCUUUCCUCCUUGCAGAAACAUCGUUCGGGUGAGAUUGGAGGACGGUACUAAUCCAGAUCUCAGAGAAUUCCAUGUGUGAGCAGCAUAUUCUGUGUGAACACAGACUGGUGAAGCCGAGUUACAUCUUUUCUUCUGGUCUGAAGAAAAACAAACUAUAUCAAUGUCUGCCUUACUUUCUCUCCCCUUGCAGAACAGACUCUGUCACUCUGAACAGUACCACAUCAUUGAUCUCUUGGGAGUCAGGGAGACUUUACCUGGGUUCUGUGUCAGGAAUGUCUCCCUUUUUCUCCAUCCGUGUUUCUUUUGGAUUUGUUACAUGCCCUCUUCAGCUGGUUGCUGAUAUAUUGGGGCAGGUGUAGCAGUUGUGUCACAGCAAACACAACAUCCAGCUCGAGGAGUCUUGCCUGCCUUGUCACCAUCCCACUGAUUUUCUCUGUCAAUACACUCAGGGAACUUUCUCCAAGCAUCAACUUCUUUGCAUAUAUUUGACAGGUGAUGUUUUGAGGGAAUACGUGCUGCUGAGCUCCCAAAAAUAUGAUCUAAUCCAUGUGUCUUACUUGCUCUGGACUUGCUAGCAAAGGCUGGAAUCCAGCUCUUUUUGAAUUGGUGGGUAUGGAUGGCAAGAGAAGGGUCAAUGAGGUGUUGCAGGGAAGCUGUUUGUGUUGGAGCCUUAGUAAAUGAACGCCAAUCAUUCAUGGAAAUCUGUGGCACUUGUGCUGCUGACAUGAAUCUGCCCUUGUCUGUGGUGGGUGCGAGGUCUGGGACCUGAAGUGCUGAGAAAAUUGCAGGUCAGUCUUGGCUAAUGAAUGCUGAACAGAGCAACAGAAAAGAACGUUGUUAUCCUACAGCUUGUGUUUUGGGCAGAGAAAGGGAUUUUUUUCUUGGGUUUUUCUUCAGAGGUGCAGCCAUUGCUCUCCCCAGCACUGGUCAGCACUGCAGGUGCUAAACAUGGCUGAAAAUAAGAUUAUUCUGACAGAUAAGAGUUUGAACCUGGCUCAUUCCUGGGAAACUGGGGAGAUUCGGUUCCUCUGCCGACAUGAGUGACAUGAGUCUGUCCCCCUGCCUGGUGUUUGCAGAACAGAUGCAGCGAGUUAAUGGACCUGCUUUGAUCCUGUCUCCCUGAUUGUCAAGGGACCUGCACGAGCACACACAGCCAGGAAUUGCU
rnacentral:lncRNA from 1 species